rnacentral:rRNA from 1 species
AUUGAACGCUGGCGGCAGGCCUAACACAUGCAAGUCGAACGAGUGGCGGACGGGUGAGUAAUGUCUGGGAAACUGCCUGAUGGAGGGGGUUAACUACGGGAAACGGUAGCUAAUACCGCAUACCAUCAGAUGUGCCCAAAUGGGAUUGGCUGGUUGGUGGGGAAACGGCUCACCAGGGCGACGAUCCCUAGCUGGUCUGAGAGGAUGACCAGCCAAACUGGAACUGAGACACGGUCCAGACGCCUACGGGAGGCAGCAGUGGGGAAUAUUGGACAAGGGGCGAAAGCCUGAUGCAGCAAUGCCGCGUGUAGGAAGAAGGCCUUCGGGUUGUAAAGUACUUUCAGCGGGGAGGCGUUACCCGCAGAAGAAGCACCGGCUAACUCCGUGCCAGCAGCCGCGGUAAUAC